UCAAGUUGUUCAUCACCUUCCUCCCCUCCCUCGGUCCAGAAUAUUCCUGCCCGUUCCUUCCCCCCCACACCCCACCGCGCAUGGGGAAAGCGGAGGCGCCUCGCUCGGGGUCCGCCUUCCCCUUUGUGCCCCGGCGGCUCGCGCACAGCCUCCACACACGCACACACCCCCCCCCAUGGGCGGGGGUCGCGGCGGGUGACUCCCCUUACACCUCAGAAUGGCCGCCCGCCCUAGUCGCUCUCCCCGCUUAGCCCGCCGGGCGUGAAGGUUCCCCACCCCCCACCGCCCUAGGGCGGGAGGACGGUGUCACCGGGCGGUGACCGGAGGCCCCAGGCAGGGCGGGAGGGGACACGUGUGUGCGGAGGAGCUUCUGGGGAGAGGUUGAGAGGAAACACACCAAAGCCCUGCUCUAAAAAUGAUGCCGUUCAAAGUAUUUUUAAGUAACUAAACAAAACUGAGGUGAAAUCCACCGACCUUCCCUCGCUGUUUCAGUGCCGGCAUUCUGCCGGGGAAGAAAGACCAUGUGGUUCUCACAGAAAUUCAGCUCAGAUCUCCAGGCGCCUGAAAGGUGGACUUGCAACCUUUGCUCCUUCUGUGGCUCUAGGACGCUGCCUGCACACAGACAGUGCCAAACUCUAUGAAACAAUUGACAUGUAAUUAAAUAAGAAUUUGCCUUUUCUGAGAGCAAGACAGUAUAAUUUUUUAAAAUUUAUAAUCAGAAAGAACAGCUUGAAGACCAUACUACCUGAACAUGAGCUGACUACAGGAAGGAGCCUUUGUGUAACCCUCUCAGAUUUCAGGAAAGCAUCACAAAGGUGCCCACAAUUUGUCUACAUCUUGAUGCACCCUUAUAUCUGUCUUUAAUGAAAUACUCACGUGUAAACAUUUUUGAGAUGAGAGCCCGAGGUUGCAAGCCAACUUCCAUUAUAAAUUCCUGUUCUGUCUGCUUAUAACUUUCCCAGAACAAUUUCCUCGAGGAAUUAAGUCUUCUAUGAUUAGUCCCAGCUCAAAGAUGAUUUUUUUUGAAUGUUUGAACAAAGUCCAACUACUUUUAAAGCUCACAAGCUAUGAAUACAGAUGAA